rnacentral:rRNA from 1 species
AUGAACGCUGGCGGCGUGUCUAAGGCAUGCAAGUUGAAUGGGUUUAGACCCAUAGCAAACGGGUGAGUAACACAUUGGUAACCUACCCUGAAGUUUGGAAUAACCCCGCGAAAGCGGGGCUAAUACCAGAUGUAUUCUAAUACCAAAUGUUAUUAGAAUAAAGAUUUAUCGCUUCAGGCUGGGCCUAUGGCUUAUCAGCUAGUUGGUGGGGUAAAAGCCUACCAAGGCAACGACGAGUAGCGGGCGUGAGAGCGCGACCCGCCUCACUGGGACUGAGACACUGCCCAGACUCCUACGGGAGGCUGCAGUCAAGAAUAUUCCCCAAUGGCCGAAAGGCUGAGGGAGCGACGCCGCGUGACUGAAGAAGCCCUUCGGGGUGUAAAGGUCUUUUAGAGAGGAUGAGGAAGGACGGUACUCUCUGAAUAAGUCUCGGCUAACUACGU